rnacentral:rRNA from 1 species
GAUGAACGCUAGCUAUAGGCUUAACACAUGCAAGUCGAGGGACCGGCGCACGGGUGAGUAACGCGUAUCCAACCUGCCCAUAACUAAGGGAUAACCCAGCGAAAGUUGGACUAAUACCUUAUGGUUAUGGAUGGGGAUGCGUCUGAUUAGCUUGUUGGCGGGGUAACGGCCCACCAAGGCAACGAUCAGUAGGGGUUCUGAGAGGAAGGUCCCCCAGAUUGGAAAUGGGGCACGAUCCAAACUCCGACGAGAGGCAGCAGUGAGGGAUAUUGGUCAAUGGGCGAAAGUCUGAAACGGCCAAGUGGCGUACAGGGUGACGGCCUAUGGGGAGUAAGCUGCUUUUAUAUGGAGAUAGGUACCAGAUGAAUAAGCACCGGCUAAUUCCGUGCCAGCAGCCGCGGUAAUAC